rnacentral:misc_RNA from 1 species
CCGAUCCCCAAAAUCAACAAGACUGUGAAACCGAUCCCCAGCACUAGGUCUCCCUGGGCCAGCCAAUGACAUUUCCGAUUUCUCUUUAUUUUUCUUUACCAGAUGACCAUAUUUCCGAACUCUCCUUAAAAGGAAUUGAAUCAAUGCUAAGUCCUAACAUUCGUUAAAGCCCUCCCGAUCUCUCAAAUCAUUCACCGAUCUCUCAAACCCGCUGUCGAAUUUCCGGACCCGUCGGGUAUAUCCCUGAUCUCUGUUGAUAAAUGAAGUGAACUAGCAUUAGAUCUUUUCUUACCAGUUUUAUUGCCGAUCUCCUUUUCGGAAGAUUAAGAGCUAAGGUUUUGGUUCGGUUUAACGAGGGUUCCGAUCUUAAGUUUUCAAGUUAAAUUUUCAAUUUUAAUCAAGUCCCGUUCAGCAUUUCUUCCCCACCGAUCUCAUGCUUAUUGUGCUUUCCGAUCUCUUAUACUUAGAUUAAUAAUUGCAUUUUUGUCUUGCUGUGCUCAUACAAUCAAAUA